ACCUGCGGAGGGAUCAUUACCGAGUUUACAACUCCCAAACCCCUGUGAACAUACCACUUGUUGCCUCGGCGGAUCAGCCCGCUCCCGGUAAAACGGGACGGCCCGCCAGAGGACCCCUAAACUCUGUUUCUAUAUGUAACUUCUGAGUAAAACCAUAAAUAAAUCAAAACUUUCAACAACGGAUCUCUUGGUUCUGGCAUCGAUGAAGAACGCAGCAAAAUGCGAUAAGUAAUGUGAAUUGCAGAAUUCAGUGAAUCAUCGAAUCUUUGAACGCACAUUGCGCCCGCCAGUAUUCUGGCGGGCAUGCCUGUUCGAGCGUCAUUUCAACCCUCAAGCACAGCUUGGUGUUGGGACUCGCGUUAAUUCGCGUUCCUCAAAUUGAUUGGCGGUCACGUCGAGCUUCCAUAGCGUAGUAGUAAAACCCUCGUUACUGGUAAUCGUCGCGGCCACGCCGUUAAACCCCAACUUCUGAAUGUUGACCUCGGAUCAGGUAGAAUUACCCGCUGAACUUAAGCAUAUCAAAGGGGGGGAGGAAGGAUAG
rnacentral:rRNA from 1 species